GUGGAUUAGAUACCCUAGUAGUCCACGCCCUAAACGAUGGAUGCUAGGCGUAGGAGGUAUCGACCCCUCCUGUGCCGCAGCUAACGCACUAAGCAUCCCGCCUGGGGACUACGGCCGCAAGGUUGAAACUCAAAUGAAUUGACGGGGACCCGCACAAGCGGUGGAGCAUGUGGAUUAAUUCGAUACUAACCGAAGAACCUUACCCAGGUUUGACAUCGAGGGUAAGCCUAUGAAAGUAGGCCCUCUCCCACAAGGAGACCCGAAGACAGAUGUUGCACGGUCGUCGUCAGCU
rnacentral:rRNA from 1 species